rnacentral:rRNA from 1 species
UACGGAGGGUGCGAGCGUUGUCCGGAUUUACUGGGCGUAAAGAGCGCGCAGGCGGUCGUCCAAGUCGCGUGUGAAAGCCCCCGGCUCAACUGGGGAGGGUCACGCGAUACUGGUCGACUCGAAGGCAGGAGAGGGUAGCGGAAUUCCCGGUGUAGUGGUGAAAUGCGCAGAUAUCAGGAGGAACACCGGUGGCGAAGGCGGUUCUCUGGGCAUUACCUGACGCUGAGGAGCGAAAGUGUGGGGAGCGAACAGG